rnacentral:rRNA from 1 species
UACCAGCACCCCGAGUGGUCGGGACGAUUAUUGGGCCUAAAGCAUCCGUAGCCGGUUUUACAAGUCCUCCGUUAAAUCCAGCUGCUUAACAGAUGGGCUGCGGAGGAUACUAUAAGACUAGGAGGCAGGAGAGGCAAACGGUACUCAGUGGGUAGGGGUAAAAAUCCGUUGAUCCAUUGAAGACCACCAGUGGCGAAGGCGGCUUGCCAGAAUGCGCUCGACGGUGAGGGAUGAAAGCUGGGGGGAGCAAACCGG